rnacentral:rRNA from 1 species
UACGGAGGGUGCAAGCGUUAUCCGGAUUCACUGGGUUUAAAGGGUGCGUAGGAGGGUCUGUAAGUUCAGCGGUGAAAUCUCCGAGCUUAACUCGGAAACUGCCAUUGAUACUAUAGAUCUUGAAUACCGUGGAGGUGAGCGGAAUAUGUCAUGUGCGGUGAAAUGCUUAGAUUAUGACAUAGAACACCAAUUGCGAAGGCAGCUCACUACACGCAUAUUGACUCUGAGGCACGAAAGCGUGGGGAUCAAACAGG